rnacentral:rRNA from 1 species
GGGGGAUAACGUUCGGACACGGACGCUAAUACCGCAUACGUCCUACGGGAGAAAGCAGGGGACCUUCGGGCCUUGCGCUAUCAGAUGAACCUAGGUCGGAUUAACUAGUUGGUGGGGUAAUGGCUCACCAAGGCGACGAUCCGUAACUGGUCUGAGAGGAUGAUCAGUCACACUGGAACUGAGACACGGUCCAGACUCCUACGGGAGGCAGCAGUGGGGAAUAUUGGACAAUGGGCGAAAGCCUGAUCCAGCCAUGCCGCGUGUGUGAAGAAGGUCUUCGGAUUGUAAAGCACUUUAAGUUGGGAGGAAGGGUUGUAGAUUAAUACUCUGCAAUUUUGACGUUACCGACAGAAUAAGCACCGGCUAACUCUGUGCC